AGAGUUUGAUCCUGGCUCAGAACGAACGCUGGCGGCGUGCCUAACACAUGCAAGUCGAACGGAGAUAAGGGGCUUGCUCCUUAUCUUAGUGGCGCACGGGUGAGUAACGCGUGGAUAAUCUGCCUUGGAAUCUGGGAUAACAUCUCGAAAGGGGUGCUAAUACCGGAUAAGACCACGAGCUCUUCGGAGUUUGCGGUAAAAGGGGGCCUCUGUAUAUGCUUCUGUUUCAAGAUGAGUCCGCGUACCAUUAGCUAGUUGGCAGGGUAAUGGCCUACCAAGGCGACGAUGGUUAGCUGGUCUGAGAGGAUGAUCAGCCACACUGGAACUGAGACACGGUCCAGACUUCUACGGGAGGCAGCAGUGGGGAAUUUUGCGCAAUGGGGGAAACCCUGACGCAGCAACGCCGCGUGAGUGAUGAAGGCCCU
rnacentral:rRNA from 1 species